rnacentral:tRNA from 1 species
AAAGGGUUACCUUGAUAGGGUAAAUCAUGUAA